rnacentral:rRNA from 1 species
UACGAAGGGGGCUAGCGUUGCCUCGGAAUCACUGGGCGUAAAGGGUGCGUAGGCGGGUCUUUAAGUCAGGGGUGAAAUCCUGGAGCUCAACUCCAGAACUGCCUUUGAUACUGAAGAUCUUGAGUUCGGGAGAGGUGAGUGGAACUGCGAGUGUAGAGGUGAAAUUCGUAGAUAUUCGCAAGAACACCAGUGGCGAAGGCGGCUCACUGGCCCGAUACUGACGCUGAGGCACGAAAGCGUGGGGAGCAAACAGG